UAUCUACCCUUUGGCCUGGAAUAACACGAGGAAACUUGUGCUAAUACCGGAUAAGUCUUUACAGAGAAAGCUUUAUGCACCAUUGGAUGAGCCUGCACUUGAUUAGUUUGUUGGUGGGGUAAUGGCCUACCAAGACUGUGAUCAAUAGCUGAUUUGAGAGGAUGAUCAGCCACAUUGGGACUGAGACACGGCCCAAACUCCUACGGGAGGCAGCAGUGGGGAAUCUUGCACAAUGGAGGAAACUCUGAUGCAGCGAUGCCGCGUGAGUGAAGAAGGCCUUUGGGUUGUAAAGCUCUUUCGUCGGGGAAGAAAAUGACUGUACCCGAAUAAGAAGGUCCGGCUAACUUCGUGCCAGCAGCCGCGGUAAUACGAAGGGACCUAGCGU
rnacentral:rRNA from 1 species